rnacentral:rRNA from 1 species
CCUACGGGUGGCAGCAGUGAGGAAUAGUGGUCAAUGGGCGAGAGCCGGAACCAGCCAAGUAGCGGGAAGGAUGACUGCCCUACGGGUUGUAAACUUCUUUUAUAAAGGAAUAAAGUGAGGCACGUGUGCCUUUUUGCAUGUACUUUAUGAAUAAGGAUCGGCUAACUCCGUGCCAGCAGCCGCGGUAAUACGGAGGAUGCGAGCGUUAUCCGGAUUUAUUGGGUUUAAAGGGAGCGUAGAUGGGUUGUUAAGUCAGUUGUGAAAGUUUGCGGCUCAACCGUAAAAUUGCCAUUGAUACUGGCAGUCUUGAGUUCAGUUGAGGUAGGCGGAAUUCGUGGUGUAGCGGUGAAAUGCUUAGAUAUCACGCAGAACUCCGAUUGCGAAGGCAGCUUACUAGACUGCAACUGACAUUGAUGCUCGAAAGUGUGGGUAUCAAACAGGAUUAGAUACCCCUGUAGUC